AGACCAUGAUGAGGACAUUUUCGUUGCAAUUCCCGAUAGCGCUCCCAAGUUUCAUACAAUGUCUCUCCUUUCUGUUGAGAGAAACUAGUUAUAUCCAUUCUAAACUU